rnacentral:rRNA from 1 species
AACGAACGCUGGCGGCGUGGAUAAGACAUGCAAGUCGAACGGGACUAAAUCUGUAGCAAUACAGGUUUAGUUUAGUGGCGAACGGGUGCGUAACACGUGGGCAAUCUGCCGAGAAGUGGGGGAUAGCUCGCCGAAAGGCGAAUUAAUACCGCAUAUGAUCAGUGAAGACAUCUUCACGACAUCAAAGCCGGGGCAACCUGGCGCUUCUUGAUGAGCCCGCGGCCUAUCAGCUAGUUGGUGAGGUAACGGCUCACCAAGGCUAUGACGGGUAGCUGGUCUGAGAGGACGACCAGUCACACUGGAACUGAGACACGGUCCAGACACCUACGGGUGGCAGCAGUCGAGUAAUUUUUCUCAAUGGGGCAACCCUGAAGGAGCGACGCCGCGU